AGAACCUGGAGCCCAUCAAUAAGGCUAAGCGGGCAGGCCAAUAAUCUCUGGGGAUCCAUGUGUCUGUUCCUUUGGAGCUGGAAUCACAGAUGUGUGCUGCCACACCCAAACCCAGAUCCCAGUGCUUGUGAGCUAGCACUUUUCUGACUAAGCCAUCUCCACUCCCAGACUCCUUUCUCUCCUCACCAAGAUUGUACUCCAGGAGCUUGGCCCAUCGGUUAGUGGUGGAUUUCUGCAUCUGCUUCCAUCUGUUUCUGGAGGAGGGUUCAAGCUUCUCUGGGGUUAUGUCUGGGUACAUUUUGCUUUAUGUCUGGUAUCCACUUAUGAGUGGAAUAGUGUUGCCAUCCUCUGGACCCUUGUACCUCCAGCUUGUCUGUCUGCAGUGGGCAGGCCCUUGAGGUCUACCUCAAACUCUGUGGCUGGAAAAAUGACCCAGUCUAUCUGAGCAGUGGUGAACUCCCCAGAUUGGUCUGGUCACAUCAACUAAAAUAGGACAAAAGUAGGAGACACCAAUGACCAGAUGCAUGAAGAACAAAGAAGGAGGAAAGCAGUCCUGAAAAUAGAAAUCACACCAAAAAAUAGAUGAUGAGUUGAUGAUGCCCCGAGGCCUUUGUUCAGGAACAUGCUGGCACUGUAAAGAGGAACACGACAGUACCACAUUCUUCUGUGAAGUGUGAGCGGCUUUUUCCUAAAGAAUUCUCCCUAGAGAAGGCCUUGUGGGUUGUGGCUAGCUCUGCUUUCCGUUUUUAUCCAGACGUGUUCUUUAAGGCAAGUAUUACUCUCUUUCAAGGACUGCUCUAUCAUCACAUUAACAAUAAGAUAAACAAACUUGACAAAAAUCCAUGGAAAACACUAACCAUGGCCAUUGCUUAUUUCUGGUCCCAGGUAUUCCGUUUGUGCUCACAGUUAAAAAGCAGUCACGGCAGCUGUGUGCGUUCUGUAUCACUUGUUCCCCGUAAAUAAAAUACUCUAAGGGCCUAAAAAUGCAACAGAAAUAAAACUUUCUGAAAAAAAUUAAAAAGCUGCUAGUUGGUGUCAUAUCAAAAAUAAGACAUGGA
rnacentral:lncRNA from 1 species